rnacentral:snoRNA from 1 species
AGUCCCUGACCUUGGUAGAGUGGCAUCUGAUUGGUGUUGCUUAUCUCAUAUCAGCCAGGGACAAAGCACAAAUUU